UAUGAGAGUUGCAGAGAGAGCUCUCCUGCAACGUUUGCAGACGAUACGGCCUCUGCCUAUAUAUUGCUGACCACCCAACAUUUCUUACAUUGUCCUCACAAAAUAAAUCAUCUUCCCAUGAGUUGCGAGAUGAUGGAAACUCCAACACUCCCACUCUCUAUCUUCCUCCUCUCAUGCUCCUGCCUUUUCAUCCUUUCCUUUAAAUUCAUUCGCCGGUCAUUGCUAUCACGUUUUCUCAUGCUGGUGAGGACUCAUGAUCCACCAUUGGAUCAGUGCAAUGUAGAAUCCAAUGGUAAGAUCACAUCUAUAAAUGGCAAAGAAGUUAUUGUUGGUUACUGUAAGCCUGCUGGGGGCAAAGAAGUAGAGUGUCCCAUUUGUUUGUGUAGGAUUGAAGAUGGUGAGGAGAUUAGAAAGCUGAGAUGUGAUCAUCUCUUUCAUAGGGUUUGCUUGUAUAGAUGGGUGGGACAUCUAAGUUCCACAUGCCCACUGUGUCGUGGAUCCCUCCAGCCUGAGGGAUUGGUGGCCCACUAGGAAGAAGAACUCAUCUUUUCCUACUCAUCUUUCCACUCAACCAGUGUUCAUAGCACAUGAUGAUGCAGGUGAUAGAUCUGUACAAAUGAAUAUGUGGAGCAGGAUGAUGAGCCGGGAGACAAGUGACCUUAAUUGUCUAAGGAGUAGGUCAAAUAAUUCGUGGCACAAGACUAUCUUAGUUUUAGUUCUUUAUAUGUUUAAGGACGUGAACUUAGACUAGUAGAAAUGUAAUAAGUCCACAACUAAGUGGACAUAUGCUUGAACUUAUUUUAUGACGAUAAACGCUUAUAGUUA